GGAAGGGGUGUAUUUAUUAGAUAAAAACCCAAUGCCCUUCGGGGCUCUGAGGUGAUUCAUAAUAACUUAACGAAUCGCAUGGCCUUGUGCCGGCGAUGGUUCAUUCAAAUUUCUGCCCUAUCAACUUUCGAUUGUAUGGUCUUGGCUUACAAUGGUUUCAACGGGUAACGGGGAAUUAGGGUUCUAUUCCGGAGAGGGAGCCUGAGAAACGGCUACCACAUCCAAGGAAGGCAGCAGGCGCGCAAAUUACCCAAUCCCGACACGGGGAGGUAGUGACAAUAAAUACUGUUACAGGGCUCUUUUGGGUCUUGUAAUUGGAAUGAGUACAAUUUAAAUCCCUUUGCGAGGAACAAUUGGAGGGCAAGUCUGGUGCCGGCAGCCGCGGUAAUUCCAGCUCCAAUAGCGUAUAUUAAAGUUGUUGAGGUUAAAAAGCUCGUAGUUGAACCUUGGGCCUAGCCGGCCGGUCCGCCUCACCGCGUGCACUGGCUCGGCUAGGCCUUUCCCUCUGGAGAACCGCAUGCCCUUCACUGGGUGUGCCGGGGAACCAGGACUUUUACA
rnacentral:rRNA from 1 species